rnacentral:rRNA from 1 species
AUUGAACGCUGGCGGAAUGCUUUACACAUGCAAGUCGAACGGCAGCAUAGGUGCUUGCACCUGAUGGCGAGUGGCGAACGGGUGAGUAAUACAUCGGAACGUGCCCAGUCGUGGGGGAUAACGUAGCGAAAGUUACGCUAAUACCGCAUACGAUCUACGGAUGAAAGCGGGGGACCGUAAGGCCUCGCGCGAUUGGAGCGGCCGAUGUUAGAUUAGGUAGUUGGUGGGGUAAAGGCUCACCAAGCCGACGAUCUAUAGCUGGUCUGAGAGGAUGAUCAGCCACACUGGGACUGAGACACGGCCCAGACUCCUACGGGAGGCAGCAGUGGGGAAUUUUGGACAAUGGGCGCAAGCCUGAUCCAGCCAUUCCGCGUGCAGGACGAAGGCCUUCGGGUUGUAAACUGCUUUUGUACAGAACGAAAAGGUUCUUCUUAAUACGAGGGGGUCAUGACGGUACUGUAAGAAUAAGCACCGGCUAACUACGUG